UCCCUGAACACACAUCUGUGGUCUGUCACAAACCAGGGUUGGAACUGCAGAACUCUUAGUCACCGUUGUUCUGAGAGAGCGAGGAAUUGCGACUAGGGAUUGUGAACGCAGCCUUAGGACGUAGUUACACUCAGCUGUGUGGUGGUCCCAGUAUUUCAUGCUGUGGCACCUUGACUGGACAUAGUGGCAUUACAUGUAGGAGGCAAAUUCUCUCCAACAUGAGGUAAAGAAAGCAGGAAACUGUGACUAAAUGAAGAUCACAGAGCCAGUUGAUCAGUGGGGAAGCUGCAUCUGAAAUCCAGGACUUCUAGAUCCUGGGUCAACUGGAGGGGUCAUGCAUUCUGGAAAAUGAUGCAGAGUGGUACAGGCUGAAGCGGAGCGGAGAGGACACUGUUUCAAGAUUCCUGCGCCAGCUCCUUCGUUGUUAUAGAAGUUGGACUAAAUAAAAGGAGGCAGGCAUGCCAUGAACUGGAAAAUGUUUUUGAGAUCAAGGAAAAGCAGCAAUAAGGAAGGCCUUACUACGGAACUGAGAGAGGAGAUAAAAAUCUUUGUUCUUGAUGGUCUUGAUCCCACCUGCCUGGGUGCUGCAGCUCAGUGCUGCCUGAGAAAGCAAGGGACCAAGAGGAGCAGAAGACUACCAGCAAUGUGUGAACGAUCCAGUUGCUCUACGUCCUUGCCAGCAGUUAGUAUGGUAAGUAUUUUCAAAAUGUUAUCUGUUCAAAUAGAUGGUUAGUGGUAGCUCAUUGUGGCUUUAAUUUGCAUUUUCCUAAUGGCUAACUUUCCUAAUCUUUUCAUGUACUUAUUUGCCAUACGUAUCUUUUUUGGUUAAAUGUCUGUUCAUAUGUUUUGCCUGCCAAUUUCUUUUCUUGUUAGUGAGUUUUGAGAGUUCCUUAUAUAUUCUACAUACAAGUCUUUUAUUAGAUAUAUGAUCUGCAAAUGUUUUCGCCCACUUUGUGGCUUCUCUAUUCUGUUCUCUUACAAGUAUUUUUCAAACAGCAGAAAUUCUUAAUUAAAUUUAUUUACUUUUUCUUUUAUAACUGUGCUUGGUUGUCACGUCUAAGAGAUUGUUGCCAGCCCCCAAUAAGCAAAGAUUAUUUUCCCAAUUUUUGCUAGAUGCUUUAUGGUAUUUGAUUAGUGAAGAUAUGAUUGGAGGAGAAAAUUCAGGGGCUUUGAAAAUACUAUCACGGUUCUAUGUUUUUUAACCUCUGUGGUAUUUACAUGGGUGCUUGCUUUAUUUUUUUUUAAAAUGCUAUAUAUCUGUACAUCUCUGGGUAUGUUUACAAUAAAAAAUUAGAAGAAGAGUAUGACAAAAAUUUGACAUCCAUUCAUGUCGUGGGAAAAAUAAGCUGUAAAUAUCAUACUUAAUGGAGAAAGAUUUGCAGCAUUCUCUUUGAAGUACACUAGACAGGUUUGCUCACCAUAACCACUUCUAUUCAGCAUUGUUUCAGAGGGCCUGGCCUCUGAAAUAAAAUAAAAAUCAGAACAAAUAAAUAUUCAAAAUGAUUAUAAAGAUUAUUUCUAUAUAAUAUCUGAGACAAUCUACUAACAAGCUAUUAGAAUUAGUUUUAAAAAUUUCACAUAGUUUCUGGAAAUAAGAUUAACAUAAAAGAUAAAUAAUGUGUAAUACGCUAUGACUCAUUUUAACAAAUCAUUUUAAAUGUAGUUAAAAUAUUCCAUUCAAAAGAGCAAUGAAUAUAAUAAAACACGUACAAGUCUUUCUGCAUGGAAAAGUUUAAAUUAUGUGUAAGGACCUAAGGAAGGCUAAUAUAAAUGGAUACACUGUUUUAUGAAUGGAAAGACAUGCAUGUUAAAGAUAAAUUCACAGUCCCAAUUCUGAGUAUGUUUUUAUGGAGCUUGACAAGGUGAUGUUAAAAUUCAUUUGAAAGACAAAGACUAAAGAACUCAAGACAGUGUCAAAGAAAAUAAAAAAGAGAAAAAUUUCUCCAAGAGACUUGGUAUAAAUUGUUUUCUAUCUGGUGGCACCUACUUUAAGAUUUAAUCAAUGUCUUCUAUUCUAUGAAGUCUUCUCAGCCUAUGACAAUUCCCCUCCCAUGUAAUUUCAUUGCAUUCUCUACUUAUCUCUUUCAUAGUAUUUAUCAUAGUGUUUAUCAUAACUGUGCUGAGAUUUGUAUUUACUCCUUUAUGUCCUGACUGAGCUAUUAAGUGAUUGUGCAGUUCAUCUUUGUAUACCCAGAGUGCCACAUGGGAUGUAGCUCACAAUAAAGCUAAUAAAUGUCAGCUGCUUGCUCUCUGGCUUUACCAUUAGUAUUUCUUGGUAAGAUGAGCUUAUUGUUUCCAUUAAGUUCCUCACCUAGGCUUUGGCAAAGGACAUUAAAGUUUGGUCAUUUUUCAUACUUAACUACCUGGGGCUCGAUUUUAAAAUGAUGUCUGCAAGUAGCUCUUUGUUACUAUCCAUGUUUUCUCUAAUGUUGAAUAGAGUCGUGAGUAAGAAUGCAUUAUGGAGUUUCUUAUAUGAAAAAAGCUUAGAUGAUAUCCAUUUCACCCCUCCUUUCAGAUUACAAACAGGGACUCAGGCUGCUCAGAUAAUUUCAUUUAAAAAUAACUUCAGUUAUGUUUUAUCUGUUGCAUACUAUUUCUACUUCCUGACUUGAAAUUAAAUUGAAAUCUCAAAUUGAUCAUUUAUAAAUCUGACAAUGAAAAGAGCCAGGAAACUGACAAUAUAGGAAAAUAUGUAGAAGCUAAAGGGAUAAUAAAGUACAAUACGUGAUGUUUAAAUAUGCAUGGCAUGUUAUUUUUACCUACAAUAUUCUCUUCAUCCUGCUUCACAAUUAAGCUUAACUCAUUAAAAGUUAUUGGGAAAUGGAGAAUCAUACUUAAGGGACUAUUCAAGAGAAUUUCAGCUUAUACUCUCAAAGCCUAAAUAAAAGUAUUCUAUAUUUGUACAAGCUACCCUCAGGCAGUUGUUUAUGUUCAGCAAAGAGUUAUGUAACCUUGUGAUUUCAGUUACGUCUUUCAUUAAAGAAACAAUUCUGAAUACCAUUAUUUAUUUCCUUUUGGAAUCUCACCAGGUGAAACGAUCAUUCUAAUUCUAUGUAUGUUGGCUACCAGAAAACUUUGGCAUUGGUUUUGCAGUUUAUACAUCCUGUUUGUGUUUUCUCACAUUGUGAGCAGUCUUCCUAUUUGCUUAUACAAUAGCUCUCUCCACAUCUACACUCCCCCUUGUUUUUCUUGUGUAAUUUCUUAUGUCAUUAGAGCUUACCUAUUGAAAAUUUUUAAUUAAUGCCACAGUGCAGCCAAUGCGUUUAGUUUUUUGGCGAUGUGCUUUGGAGGAAUCCUUUUUACAGUAACAUAAAUAAUCAAGUAUUAAUUUGAAUCCCCCCAAAACUAUUUUCAUACACAAGAAAUCAAUUUCAACGCAAAGAGAAAGUUAAAAAGUUUUCACAAAAACAACCUCAAUACAAUUAAAAGGACUUGCUAUUGGAAAUUAAGGUACAAAUAAUCGAACUGUACAAUCACAGGAGUUUAUAGAGCAAAAAGACAAUGCUGAGUGCUAUCAUACUUGAUUGACAUAAGUGCAUUGAUGUGAGUAGUAGUUGCAAUUAGGAGAACUAUUGAAUGAUACAAUGCGAACUCAUCUUCUCCCCCGACAAACAGGAGACAGGAACACUUGCCACUUCGGUGGAAGUCAAGGGCAGAUUGUCAUUGCAGAAGUGCUUAAUCAUUUCCUUCUGUGGGAGGAUUCAUGCUUCCACUUCUUACUGCUUUAUAGAAGAAUGUGAAAGAUUGGAGAUUUUUAUUAGCUUUUAAGAAAGAAUCCUCAGUACAUUGAAAAGAUGAUUUAAUAAUAUCCGCCAUCAAAAUUGUAAUAAUUAGCUGAUGAUGAUAUGACAUUAAAAAUACAAGAACUUGAAAACAU